AUUGAACGCUGGCGGCAGGCUUAACACAUGCAAGUCGAGCGAGCGGCGGACGGGUGAGUAAUGUCUGGGAAACUGCCUGAUGGAGGGGGAUAACUACUGGAAACGGUAGCUAAUACCGCAUACCAUCAGAUGUGCCCAGAUGGGCUUAGCUAGUAGGUGGGGUAACGGCUCACCUAGGCGACGAUCCCUAGCUGGUCUGAGAGGAUGACCAGCCACACGGGAGAUGAGAGACGGUCCUGCCGCCUACGGUAGGCAGCAGUGGGGAAUAGUGCAAAAGGGGCGGAAGCCUGAUGCAGCGAUGCGGCGUGUGUGAAGAAGGCGUUCAGGGUGGAAUGCACUUUCAGCGGGGGGGCGUUACCCGCAGAAGAAGCACCGGCUAACUCCGUGCCAGCAGCCGCGGUAAUAC
rnacentral:rRNA from 1 species